CCAGCACCACGGCCCCAUCUGUCUUUCCCUUGGCCCCCAGCUGUGGGGCCACUUCUGGCUCCACAGUGACCAUGGGCUGCCUGGUCAAGGGCUACUUCCCCGAGCCAGUGACCGUGACCUGGAACUCCGGAGCCCUGUCCAGCGGAGUGCACACCUUCCCAGCUGUCCUGCAGUCCGGACUCUACACCCUCAGCAGCUCAGCAACUGUGUCCUCUAGCACCUGGCCCAGCCAGACCUACAUAUGCAAUGUAAACCACCCGGCAAGCAAAACCAAGGUGGACAAGAAAAUUGUACCCAAUGACUCGUCGUCCUCAUCCGAUUCCUGCUCAUGUCCCACGUGUCCAGCUCCUGAAGUCUUAGGGGGACCAUCCGUCUUCAUCUUCCCCCCGAAGCCCAAGGACGCACUCUUGAUCUCCCUGACCCCCAAGAUCACGUGUGUGGUAGUGGAUGUGAGCCAGGAUGAUCCUGAGAUCCAGUUUAGCUGGUUUGUGGAUAAUGUGGAGGUGCACACAGCUCAGAAACAGCACCAGGAGAAGCAGUACAAUGGCACGUUCCGUGUGGUCAGCGUCCUCCCCAUCGGGCACCAGGACUGGCUGAAGGGCAAGGAGUUCAAGUGCAAGAUCAACAGCAAUAACCUCCCGGCUCCCAUCGAGAGAACCAUCUCUAAAUCCAAAGGGCAAGCCCGGGUACCUCAGGUGUACACCCUACCCCCACCCCGGGAGCAGCUGUCUAAGAAGACGGUCAGUCUGACCUGCAUGGUUAUGGGCUUCUACCCUGAGGACAUCGAUGUGGAGUGGGCGAGGAAUGGACAACCAGAGCAGAACUUCAAGAACACCCCGCCUAUCCUGGAUGCCGAUGGGUCCUUCUUCCUCUACAGCAAACUCACUGUGGACGCAAGCAGUUGGCUAGAAGGAGAAUCAUAUACCUGCUCCGUGGUGCAUGAGGCUCUGCACAACCACCAAAUGCAGAAGACCCUCUCCCGCACUCCGGAGAUGGAACUGGAUGAGACCUGUGUCGAGGCCCAGGACGGGGAGCUGGACGGGCUCUGGACGACCAUCACCAUCUUCAUCACCCUCUUCCUGCUCAGCGUGUGCUACAGCGCCACGGUCACUCUCUUCAAGGUGAAGUGGAUCUUCUCCUCUGUGGUGGAGCUGAAGCAGACGAUCGCACCCGACUACAGGAACAUGAUCGGUCAGGGGGCCUAGGCUGCCACCUCAGAGGGGCUUGGGG